rnacentral:lncRNA from 1 species
CCAAGAUUUGCCACUAGAGAAGAAGUGAAGCUCAUAAGUGCCAUAACAAAAGACACAACUUGACCCAAAAAAACAGGAUAAAAAGUCCCUUCAUAAUUCCUCCACCAGCUGAUAUUAUCCAUAGAAAAAGCAAAAAAAAUCAAAAAAAAUCUUUAUCCCAAAAAAGCAAAAAAGAAAGAUCUGUUAUGUAUUUAUGGCUUCUUUUCUUUUUUUUGGGUCAAAUUUACAGAUCCCAAAUCUGAGCUGACGUUUUUUUUUUUUUUGAAGAAAAAAAGUGGUCCUUUGUGAGAAAAUAUAUUAAUAAUAGUUAGUAGUACAAGUACAGUGGCGGGAGUUAGCUACCUAACGGUCAAAACAUAGUUAACUAGACUUUCAUGAUUCCGUCUUACCUUUCGAGUUUGAGUUCGAAUUUUGAGUAUAAUAACGAUAAUAAUAAUAAUAAUAAUAAUAAUAUAUUUAGUGAAAUUCUAUUAAUGAGGUCUAGUGAAAGUAGAAUAUAUGUAGAUUUUAUCAUUAUUUCGUGAAGUUAGAGAGACUAAUGGAGUAGCUACAUGGUGUUAAGGGUGUUUGUCGAGAAAAAAUACUGUAUAUACAAGUAAAAUGAUAUACAAAAUAAUUGAAUAAUAUAUUUUGGACAUACUUAACACAACAAGUUGUAGUAGCCUAGUGAUUUCAGAUGCUAAUGAGAUAGUGCUUGUGUGUUCGAAAGAGACUAUUUUCAAAAGAUUUUCAUUCAAGUGUAAUAAAUCUUAAAUAUAAAGAAUAAAUAUAAAAUUAUUUAUUUAUUUCCGUUAAAUAAAAAAGUAUAAUUAAACUAUUUCUAUAACAAUAAUUGUAUAUGUAAGCAAUUUUUAUGCAAACAAAUAUAUUUACUCUAAAUCGGAAAGUAAGAUACUAUAUUAUAGAGUAUCCUUUUGACCGAAGCAGCCGACAAUUUUAAGUGAAGUGAUGAUAGGAAUAUUUUUUUUCUUGUCUUGUCUUUUCCAAUAGCUAACAAUUUUAAAUUAAUACAAUAACAUAAUAAAUUCAAUGAAUUUUUAUAAGUGGAUUUUGAAAAUAAUAAAGGGUGUGCAGACUUUAAAGGUAUUUUUAUGGGUGGUUUGAUGUGAAGGAUAAUAUAAAAUAUUCUUAAGAUUAAAUUAUAGUAUUAUUUAAUUUAUUAUUUUAUGAAUAAUUUUGGGAUAAUUUACAAAAACUAAAUAGGUAAAAUGAUAAUGAUAUCUCUUUAAAUUCUUUUUAGACAUCACUUUUCAUAUUCAUAUAUAUUUAUGUUAUUUUUAAUAUCAUGUAUAAUAAUAUUUACAACCUUCACUAUUCUUUAUUUUUAUGACAAUUCUUCAUAUUUUUUUUAUUAAAAAAUUAUAAUAUAUAAAUAUAAUUUUAUUUAUGAAUUUAUUUGACUAACUCUUAUGUUUAUUUAUAUUUUGAUUUCUCAUAAAUAUUUUUUUACUUUAACAAACUUAAGAUGAAAUUUUUAUUUUUAAGCUAAAUAAGAAAAAAAUAAUUAAAUACAUAUGGUGGGAAUGCACACACAAAAGUAUUUAAGCUAAAAUAAGAUGAAAGCUUUAUUUUUAAGAAUGAAUAACUAAAGCUUGCAAAAAAAUAAAAAAGUUAAAUAAAGUAAAGGGUAUUUUUGCAAGGAAACAAUUUGUUCUUAAAAUUUAUGCAAUGCAUAUUAUUUUGAAUAUAACAAACUAAACCCUCAAUAAAAAAUAAUCUCAAUAUAAUUAAUCCAACAUAAUUUAUUUUAUUAUAACUAAUAUUAUCAUAACUUGUAUUCAAACCAAACGAUCCUAAAAAUUAAAAUGAUUAUUUCUGACAUCACCGCAACAAGUAAUGUUCUCAAAUAAAUAUUUGGUGACAUUUGAUAAGAUGUGUACACCAAACAUUUGGAAAUGCACACCAUCACUAGAUAACACAAUAGUACCUAUGAAAAAAUUAAAUAAUUAGACCAUAGUACUAAGUAAUGAAGAAAAAUAUUGAAAUUAUUAAUUGAUAUAAAAAAUAAAAAGGUAUAAAUGUGUGUAGAAUUAAACAUGAAAAAACAAAAAACAAAAAACAAAUGAUUUGAAAACAAUUAAGGGUAAUUUGUGGCAAAGAAUAAUGAGAGAUGUAUAUUUUUUUUAUAUCUCACCUAAAAGAAGAUACUUUAACCAUAUAAGUUAUUGUAUUUGCGUAGUUUAGUUAGAGGUCUUUGGGAUGAAAAAACAAAAAAAAUCUUGGAAAUAAAGAGGGGAAAUAGGAAUUUUAGAUAAAGACUAAUUUUGAUUUGUAGGUGGGUGGAUUGAGUCUAAGAUAUAAAUAUUUUAAAAUUUUAGUUUAUUUGUGAGUUUAUGUCUAUGUGACACAAAAUAAAAAUAAUUUAUUUUGUCAUGUCAACUAUUCUUUUUCAAAUUUUUUUUUACAAGAAAAUAGAAAAUUAGCUAAGAAAUUUAUCGGUAAUCCCACCUGAUAUAUUGCUAAACAUUCUAGCUGAUUAAUUUUUUUUUAAUAACAUCGCUAAUUUAUAACUGAAUAGAAUUAACUUGAAAAUUCUGUUGUUCAACUCCGAAAUUAUGUCUAUUGUUAAUCCCUUAUUUACAAUUAAUUAAAUGGCUCAACUUGGUACUAUAUGACCAAAAUACACUUUAUACUCAAAAUAAAGACAAGUAAUUAGAAGCAGAGGGAGUACAUUAUUAAUUAAUUGCUUAAACUUGAUCUAACCAAUAUAUAUUUGUGCUAAUUAACAAUUAUAUACUACAAGUAGGCUAAAAUCAUAACUGUCCAGUACUCCUUAACAUGAUUUUAGCUUAGCGUUACGAAUAAUUCAAUCCUAAUUAACCCUUGGCCUUCCUGAUUAGGAAGACAUGAUUAUACUCUUCAACAUGAUAUUAGAGAAUCGUACGUCCUAAAUACGUUAAAAAGUCUCUCUGUCUCUAGAAAGAAUCAAGCUACAUGUGAGGGACACGCAUGUUGAAAACAUUUGUAAGAUAUUAAAAAUAUGCUCUAUUUAAUCAGUUAAAUAUAAUUUUAGAUGAGAUUGUCACACGCUUCAACAUUUUCAGAGAAAACACUAAUGUUUGAAUUAGAAUUUAAGAAUUUAAAUUAAAUAAAUCUCAGGAGAAAAUAAUUAAAAGAUUUGGUCAAUAUAUAUAUACAAUAUUACUAUAUUCAUCAAGUGACACAUUAAAAAAGCAGAUUUUUGGCUCCAUAAAUAGAGAAGAACAUUUUAGCUUCUAUACCACAACUUCUCUCUUUAGUCUUUUUUGCUAAUUGCCAAUAUGCUUCUCUCCAAAAAUAUUUUCUCCCUUAACACAAGGGAAUUAUCACCAACUAAAUUAUUUUCUAAAAAACAUUUUUCUUCUAGGUUUGAAUAUAGUAACAAUAUUUCAUCAUUUGAGAAUCAUAAAAUAGCUAGAACAAAAUUGUUUUGCAUGAAAUCUGAAAAUGUAGGACACCAUCAACUUAAAAUCAUGCAUGGUAAUGAUAAUGGCAUAGGGAUUGUUGAUUUUUUCGAAGGGAAAAAUAUUCUUGUCACUGGUGCUACAGGGUUCCUAGCAAAAGGUAUAUAUAUUAUAUACACUUACAGUAUAAAUAUUAUAUUUUUUUAAUACGACUUAUGAAUUUUAACCUAUAUUAUACUUCCUUGUUCUCAUUUUAUGUGAUAUAUUGUGAGUCGACAAGAAAUUUAAUAGAGAAAAAAACAUUUUUAAAAUGUAUCUUUUUUUUGGACAUAUUACGAAGGAAUUGGUGUAUGCAUCACAUAAAAUGGGACAAAAGAGUAGCAUGUCAGUUAUCAUUAAUUUCUAUUAUUGUUAAGAGAUUUAUACGUAAUUACCUAAGAAGUGAUCUGAUUGUGUAAAUAUUUGUGAGGUGUCAGGUAUAUACUUAUACUAUAUAUAUAUUUGACAUAGUUCAAAGACAAAUUCAACCCUUUUCUCUAGACAUUUUCCAAUAACAUGAUAUAUUUUUUUAUUUUUUAUUUUUGCAGCUUUGAUUGAAAAAAUGUUGAGAACAACACCAAAGGUAAACAAGAUCUAUUUGCUCAUCAGGGCAAAGGAUAAGGAAGCUGCAUUUCACAGAUUAAAAAUUGAAGUAUGUUUAACAAUUCUUUCUUCUAUAAAUUUGUUGACGAAAGAUUUUCAAUUGACCAUCCUUUGACGAUGGUAUAUACCUAGUCUGGAGCCUCCUUUAUCCAUUAAGUGUCAAUUGACAUACUUUUGCCAAAAAAAUUACAAUGCAUAUAUAUAGUUAAUCACUUAAUUGUUGUGAUCCUUCGAAAAACAAAACAUGGUAAUUGAGACAUGCAGAAGGAGUAUUUUGACUUUUUUUAUUGAAAAUUCAAACUUCGUCACUGACUAGCUGAUAAUGUAAGGAAAUUAUAGGGGUGUCAAAUGGGCGGGUUGAGUUGAAAUUGGAGAUAUUAAAAUGGGUUGAGAUAGAAAUCGGGUUGGGUCUUGACCCGCCCAAGUUUACUUUUGGGCUCAAAUGGGUUGGGUUCAAAUGGGACUAAAAACGGGUUGGUUCUUGACCCGCCCAAUUUGACCCGAUUAAUCUCAAUAAUUUUAACAUAGUAAUAUUUAAAUUUUAUAAUCACAAUUUGAAUUUCCGCUCAAUAAUAUUUUUAAAAAAAGUAACAAAUGGAUAGAUAAAUCCUAAAGAUGUUAAAUAGAUAAUAAUUCAUACCUUUAAUAUAGGAACAUAUCUUAGUAAAGAGUUUUAAAACGGGUUGAAAUUGGAGACUGAAUUGGGCUCAAUUGAGGAUUCUCUUAAAAUGGGUUAGGCUUGAAUGGAUUGAGAUUGCACCAAAUUCAAAUUAUCUUAAGCCCAACUCUUAAAAUUUUAGGCGGGUUACCUAUGUUUGGGUUCAUUUUUGACACCCCUAGUAAACUAUUUACACCUUGAUUUUGUUUAAAAUUCAGAUUAUGGAGUCAGAAUUAUUCAAAUGCCUAGAAGAAAUGCAUGGUGAAUAUUACAAGUCAUUCAUAUUGGACAAAUUGAUCCCUAUAGUUGGAAAUAUAUAUGAGCCAAAUCUUGGUAUGGAUAUUAUUACUAGUGACAAAAUUGCUCAAGAAAUUGAUUUGAUUGUUGACUCUGCAGCCAUCACUACAUUUGAUGAGAGGUUAAUUCUCUCUCUUUAAUAAAAAUAAAUAAUUAUCAACUAUAGUAUAUAUACACAAUUUAAUUAGCAGUUUUUUUAAUUUUUAUUUUGGUUUUAAUUAUGUUUCUAGGUAUGAUUUAGCUCUUGAUGCUAAUGUGAAUGGUCCAUAUCAACUCAUGAUGUUAGCAAAGAAAUGCAAGAAACUUAAACUUCUUAUGCAUUAUUCCACUGGUAUGAUUUGAUCGAGUUUAAGUUAUAUAUAUUUACAAUAUGAAUCUUAUAUUUUUUUAAAAGAGUUUUAUAUAUGCAUUGUCUAUGUAUAGAUUUUUAUACUAUCAUGUUAAGUUGACUUACAAUAACAGAUAAAUUUUCUUAGUACAAUAUUGAAUUAAUUAAUUUAUUUUAUUUAAAGCAUUUGCCAAUGGAGAAAGAGAAGGAUUAAUAUUGGAGAAGCCUUUUACUAUGGGAGAAAGCAUAACAAAGGAAAAAAUCACUUCAAUUUCUCCUUAUACUAAUUUUCCAUCAUUGGAUGCUCACAAUGAAAUUGAUUUGAUUUCAAAGUUGAAGAAAAAUAUUACAAAUAAUAUUGGCUUGGAACAAAUAAUGAAGGAUUUUGGACUUGAGAGGUAUUUAAUUUUCUCUCUCUUUAUAUAAAAUAAAUUAUAUAUAUAAUAUUAUUAAAAUUAAUUAAUAUUUGUUGAUUAAAUAGAGCAAAGUUAUAUGGAUGGCAAGAUACAUAUUCAUUUACAAAGGCAAUUGGUGAAAUGAUGAUAAAUAAUAUGAGAGAUGAAAUUCCAAUACUUAUUAUUCGACCCUCUGGAAUAACAAGUAGCUAUAAAGAACCUUUUCCUGGAUGGAUACAAGGAUUCAGGUAUUUUUUUUUUCUUCUUCCCGAUACAUCGACGAUCUCUUAAAUUUGUUAAGUUUUGUUUAGAUAUUCGAACUAUAGUAUGUUUUGAUUGAACAGUUGAAUACAUGAUAAAAUAUUUAUCUUAGACACUUCUGACAGUUAAAGAAAAAAAUUUGUAUGUGUUCACAAGCGCUAAUACGUAUGUAGAUAAGUUAAUUACAUAAAAUAUAUCAUCUCCUUUAAUUGGAACAUACUUGAGAUUUUACAAGUUAUUGAGGCUGUUGCGUAUGAUAAAGAGAUAGGAGUUGACAUAUUUUAAGUGUCAAAUAGAAACACUCGAUCAUGUGCACCAUCAAAAGAUAUAGUAAUUCGAAUAUCUAAAUUAAAUUUAUUGACAAAUUAAAAAAAUUAUCGAUGAAUUCUGCUUAUUUAUAAAAAAAUUAGCAAAAAUAUUUAUGUUUUUGAUUUUUCAAAUUGUCUUUUUGUCGUAAUUAGGAUAAUCGAUCCAUUAGUCUUUUUCUAUCGAAAGGGUGACCUCCCUGCCCUUCUUGCUGAUCCUGAUUGUCUUGUUGAUUUGGUAAGUAUACUUUUUCAAUAGAUUUAAUAUUUAUAAUUGCGUCCGUUAUUGUUAAAGUAUGUGACCAUUUUACUUUAAUAUUUAAGAUAUUAAAGAAAAUAAAGUUUUAUUUAUUUAAUUAUUAAUUCAUAUGCUCCCUUACAAUUCAAUUACCUGAUUCCUUUUUAUGGCCCAAAUACAUGAUAGGUGAUUGUUCAACUCGAACCUUAGACCAAUACUACAUACUUUGAUACAAUGUUGAAAUGAGUGAUCCUUUCAUUUAAAAAUUUAAGAUAUUAGAGAGAGCCCAUUUUAUUUAAUGAUUAUAUCUUCAACAUGUUCUCAUGUCCCGACCUAAUUCCUUCUUACAAGCCAAACACAUGGAAAUAAUUGGGAGCGCGUGAGAUCGCACUCAGGGACCAGUAUUACCUACUGCUAUACAAUGUUCAAAUGUGUGACUAUCUCAAUUAAUAAUCUUUGAUAUACGUACACAUAUUUCUGACUUGUAUUCACUUGAUAUAGGUUCCUGUUGAUAUGGUUGUAAAUACAACAAUGGCUGCUAUGGCAAAACAUGGAAAUUUGCAAAAUCCACAACUAAAUGUUUAUCAUGUGGCAUCAUCAUCUAUAAAUCCUGUCACAUUUUCUCAAAUUUUUGACUAUUCCUAUGAUUGUUUCCAAUUAUUUCCUUUUGUUAAUUCAAAAGGAGAUAAAUAUGAGGUUAGAAAAAUGAGAUUUUUUGACAAAAUAUCAGAUUUUGAAAAUUAUAUUUGGGAGGUAUUAUCCAAGCAGCAUGAAGUACAAGAUGGAAAAAAGCUUACAAAGAUCCAAAUACGUUUAAUUAAAAAGAAGGUGGAAUAUUUGAAGAAUUUCAGCAAACUUUAUGAACCCUACUUGUUCUACAAAGGCUGGUACGUGUGAUAUUUAGUUUAUCAUUUUUGAAUUUAUAAUAUUUACGAGACGAUCAAUACAUGACUCUGAUAUUUCCUAAAUGAAAUGUUUUAUAGUGACAUAAAUGAAUUAAGACAGAAAGAAUAUGUCAUUACUAAAAUAUCAUGAGAAAUGGAUGUGUAAUUGCUAAAAAAAUUAUCUUUUUAACUUUUACUCGAUGUUCAGUAUUCGUAUUAAGAUCUGAUUAUUUCAUAAAUAAUUUUUCUUUUCUUUUCUUUUGCUAGGUUUGACAAUGGCAAUGUACGAAAGCUAAUGGGAGACAUGUCUGAAGAAGAAAAAAGAAGCUUUGAAAUUGAUGUGACAAAAAUUAAUUGGAAAAAUUAUAUUGAAAAUACCCAUAUUCCUGGUGUACAAAAAUAUGUACUAGAAGGGAAAAGGGUAAAUUAAUUCUUAAUAUUGGAACAAUUAAUUAAGAGUAUUUGUUUGUAAUUUGUGUGAAACAUUUAAUUAUUCAAGAUUAUAUUUCAUUUAUGAUUGUAAUAUUAUUGGGUGUACUUGUUUGUUGUUUAAUAAAAAGAGAUUGUUUGACACUAAUUCCUAUUUUAUUCUGUAGGAUUAGUUUAGAUUUUAAUUUUCUGAGAGUAUAGUGCUAUUUCGUUCUAGGGUUUGAAAUUAAAAUUUUAAGGUCAAUCUUUAGUCUUGUAUACAAUAAUGAACGUAAAAUGAACUAAGAUAACACUUAUUAUUAAACAGAAGAAUAGUGGGCUGUUACAGGUUGUUACGAAUCUUCUACUAUAAUUUUUGUUAACAUUAUUAAUUAAUUGCAUAAACUUGAUUUCAUCACCUAUAAAUUUGUGCUAAUUAACAAUUAUAUACUCCAAGUAGGCUAAAAAAACAAGUGUUCACUCCUUAUCAUGAUUUUAGCUUAGGGUUACGACUAAUUCAUUGUGUCCGCUCCUAACCUUUAGACCUUUUCGAAAGAGUUACCCUCUUCAACAUGGUAUUAGAGAAGACAAACGUAGUAUAGGUUGAAGUCUCUCCGUGUUAAAAAAGAAUCAAGCCACAUGUGAGGGGUGCUCAGAGGCGGAUACCUACCUUUAUAAGUGGGGGUACACGUGUACCCGUUAACUUCGGAAAAAUAUCGUGUCUAUGUAACAUCUCGCAACUAGAAAGAACUAGAAGGAAGUUUAAAAUCUGGAAAUUUGGUAAAGGUGUUAAAGUGAGUUUUUGGUCAACUUCAAACGGCCAUAAUUCCUAGCUCAGAAUGAGUUAGGUGUGAUUCCAGAUAUGGUUGGAAAGCCCUUGGAAUGAUCUUUCCAACGCCACCGAGUUUGUGCGAUUUCGAGUUUGUAUGAGUAAGUUAUACCCUUUGGAAGUUGGAAUGUUGGAUGAAGGAAAGUCCAAAUCCAGAUUUUUGAAGGGUAGUUUGGUCUUUUCCUUACCCUUUUAUUUUAAUUCGUUUUUGGUAAUUACUUAGGGGUCUAAACUGAACUUAGUCAGUUUACGCUUUUGGAAAAAGAGUUAGGGUUUUGAGAGAAGAGAAAAGAAGAGGAGAAAAGAGGAGCGUUCAAGAUUCGUCGAGAUUAGCUUGUGGAUUUCAUCGGGGGUGAUCCCUACAAUGUAUGUGAGAUAACAUAGCGUUGAGUUAAUUCGCCCACGCGCCAACCAUGAUUUAUUUCAGCAAAUUUAAGUUCUUGGAAGCUUAGAAAUUGAGUUCUUGAAUGGGUUUGUUGAGGUUUCAUUAGAUUCUUGUUUCGUUGAAUUCGUUGAGGAGUUGUUUGAUCCUAAUCUGUGAUUUUAGGUUCGAUUUUGAGUAGAAUCUGAUGUACUUUGAACAUUUAAUCGAUUCUAAGUGUUGGGUAAAAGAAUCCACAGAGUUUAGAGGGUUUAGAGCUGAAAAACGAAGAAGAAAUUUUGUCAAACGAAAUUGGGAGGUGGUGGCGCGUCGUGGAGCUGGUUCCCAGAAUUGGGAAUUUUCAUUUCGCGUCACGGAGUCUUCUACCUCAAAUUCAUUUUCGAAUCUAAAUUUUAAAAGCUUCUCCGCGUCGCGGACCCACCCUCAAAUAUUGAUUUUUGGUCUUUUCUCUAUGUUUAGCUAUCUAAAAUCAUUCUUAAACAUCAUGAGGUCUUUCCAAUCACAAAUUACAAUCCUUGAAUCCAUAAUUCAAUUCAAGGACCAGUUAAGAGUCAAAUCAAAAGCAGUUAAAAUCAAAAGUCAAGAGAAGUCAAGAGUCAAGUUAAGACAAAUUCAUAAAGUUUUCCAAAAGUUUUUUGCAAGCGUUUUAACCUUGUUUUAAGACUUAAGUUUUGAGUUUAGUAAAAAGUAAAGUUGAAGUUCAUUUCUUCAAAAGUAUAUGGGAACUAAGUAUUCCCAAAGAGAUUUAAAAUGUUUUCACAUUAAAAUAAGAACAGAAACUGAAAUUUCCAAAGAGCCACAUCAAAACUAUCACCCAUGCUAUAGUCCAGCAAUCCAGUAUGGUCACACUGGUGAUUGAUGAGUACUGAUAUGCUUUAUUUACUGCAAUACAUUCAACGAAAGUUAAAAUUUCGUAUCCUGGAUGAUUGUGACUACAUUAAAGUUCUAAAAAUCAUAUAAUGACAUGAAAUUACUAUGGGAAACCUUUCUACCACAUAUAUUCAACCACAAUACAGAGGACUAAUUGAGCUAUGAAAGAAGAACAACCACUUGAGCAGAGUAUGAUUCCCUCCGUUUCAAUCUGUUUGUCUUGCUUUCCUAUUUAGUCCGUUUAAAAAAGAAUGUCUCUUUUCUUUUUUUACUACUCUUUAAUUCCAUUUUUCCACGUGACUUGUUUAACACCACAAGAUUAAAGGGAAGAAUGUAUCUUUAGUUUUAAGACCAUAAGAUUCAAAAGUCUUCUUUACUUUCUUAAACUCCGUCUCCGUAUCAAGUCAAAACCAAACAAACAAAUUAAAACGGAGGAAUAUACAAAAAUGGGUUGGAAUAGAUGGCACUUCACGUCAAUGUUGCGAGCACAGUAAUGGUUCAAGAGUUAAUAUGGAACAAGUCGAGAAUGUCUAUUUAGCGGAGAAUGUCCAUUUACCAAGAAAAUUUCCCUGGACAUCAGCUAAGCCUAGAAGUGCAUACCAAUACCAAGGAACUGUUAGGGUUUUGCCCUGAUUUUCUUACCAUAAUUUAAGAUUUAUUUUUUCUUAAAGAAAAAACAAAACAUUACCAUAAAUGUUUUUACUUUUCUUGAAAGGAAAAUAUAAUAUUAUUUUAUAUUUGGUUUAUUCUCUCCUUUUAGGACUCCUUUUCUAGUAGGAAAGAUUUUAGGACUCUAUAAAUAUAGGUUUGUUUCUUCUAACAUAAAAAACAAUAACAUUCACAAUGUAGUCGUUUAAGACUUUUGUUUAUGGAGAGAUUUAUUCUCUCUAAAGUUUCAAUGUUUUUCUUUAUAUUAGUUUUGAUAUAAUAAUAUUUAACUUUUAGUAUAAGUUUUUGUUAUCUGAUUUAUCAACUAUAUGAUUUGCAAAUUGUAAGCUUCCGCAUGACGCCCUAAUCACCCUUCAGAACCCAACAGGAACCUGCAAACUCAAGACAAUAUUCAAUCGGUAACCAUUACGUAAAACUAAAAACAAACUUCACUUAAAAUAAAAUGAAACUCAUGAAUUAUUUUCACUACUAUAGCAUAACAAUGAACAAAUUUUAAUGAGUUGUUUACAAAUUUGUUUCAUCAAUGUCAGUAUUAUUGUGUAGUGGAAUGAACUGAUCCAAAUAUAUAUAUCAAAACCAGCUUGUCUGGGAUUGAGGGAAGGAGUGGAGCCACAAUGGUGGCUACGAGUUCAGCAGAAUCCAGUAACUUUUGUUCGAACCUUAUAUUUGUGUUAAAUGUACAAAUAAUCUAACAAAAACGCACUAAGCAAAAAUAACUAUAGUCCAGAACUCAUAAACUAAAAAUUUUAGUCCCGCCUUUGAUUGAGGGCGUAUAGUUAUUGUUAGUUAUGUUUGUUAAUUAAGCAAUAUCAAAAUAGACUCUUGAAUAAUACUCUCUCAGUUUCAACUUGUUUGUCUUACUUUUCUUUUUAGUCAGUUUUGAAAAGAAAGCCUUUAUCUUCUCCUUUUUCUUAGCAUUUCUUUAAUUCUAAAUUUCCACGGGACAUGUUUAAGACCACUUAUUAAAAGAGAUUUUGGUACAUUCUGUUAUCUUUAGUUUAAGACAUUCAAAAGUAUUUCUUACUUUCUUAAAUUAAGAACCGAAUUAAUACCAGACAAACAAAUUAAUAUAGAGGAAGUAACAAAAUACCUGUAAUUUCUGCCUCCUGUAAAUCAUGAUUCCUCCAUACACCAAAGCUAAAGCUGUGUAAGAGAAGAAUGACAGGGAAAGUGGAGUAUUUGCACCUACAAAUGCAAAACAAAAUAAAACACAAAUAAUCAACAAAAUGCCUCUCAGUUUCUCCCUCCGUUUCAAUUUGUUUGUCAUACUUUCUUUUUAGUCCAUUUAAAAAAAAAAAGAUACAUCUUCACAAUUUUUACAUCUUCUUAAUCUCAACUUUCCACGUGUCAUAUUUUAAAUCACAAAAUUAAAUAACAUUUAGGUAUAUUCUAUGUAACUUUAGUUUAAUUUAAGUUAACAAGAUACAAUCUUUCGUUCAUUUCUUAAAGUCCAUAUCAAGUCAAAACUAAUCAAACAAAUUAAAGCAAUGGAUUAUCAAGAUUCAUUAAUAAACAAAACCCCAUUUAGCCUAACUAAAUAAAUCAUAAUAAUUCAACAACAAAAAAAAAGUAUCCCUACCCCCCACCCCCCACCCCACCACCAACUUCAACCCCCAAAAGUAAUAAUCAAGAAAAUCAAACUUACCAAGAUUUGCCACUAGAGAAGAAGUUGAAGCUCAUAAGUGCCAUAACAAAAGAAACAACUUGACCCAAAAACACAGGGUAAAAAGUCUUUAAUAUCCCUUCAUAAUUCCUCCACCAGCUGCUAUUAUUAUCCAUAGAAAAAGAAAAAAAAAUCAAAUCUUUACCAAAAAAAAAAAAGGAAUUAAUAAAACCUCUAGCUUCUAUAAAU